ACUCGGCUGCCCAGUGGCCCGCCCGCCCGCCGGCCUCACCGCCGCCUCCCUUGCUCCCUGAGCGCGCCGUGCGCAGGCCAGCGGCCGGGGCGGAGGCCCGGGACGACGCGGCGCGGAGAGGGACGGCGGGCGGGCGGGCAGUGGGAGCGCCGGUCUCUAUAUGGCGGCGGCUCUGUCGGGCCUGGCUGUCCGCCUCUCGCGCUCGGCCGCCGCCCGCUCCUAUGGGGUCUUCUGCAAGGGGCUGACCCGCACACUGCUUAUCUUCUUCGACCUGGCCUGGCGGCUGCGUAUCAACUUCCCCUACCUCUACAUCGUGGCUUCCAUGAUGCUUAACGUGCGCCUGCAGUGCCUGAAGACCUCUCAUUAGAAGAGAGAGAAGAACUUUUGGACAUUCGUCGAAGAAAAAAGGAACUUAUUGAUGACAUUGAGUGCUGGCUCUGACUUUGAGGUAUCGGGUGCUGGUACCUGUGGUACCUGCAAUGCUCCAAUGAGCCCUCUGGGAAGGUGGUAUCUACAAGGUUAAAACGUGCCUGAGCCUAGGUGGAAGAAGGCUAAGACACCCUGCGACCCCCAAAUCCUUCUUUUU